GCACGUCCCCCAUCUUUUCCAAUGGGGCAGUUAACAGUAAGGCGGUUUUGCGGUUGGUGAUUAUUUGCAUAGUAUAGACCACGCAAUUUUCUCAGGCUCCGUGCAGGCUGUUUUCCCUGCUAUCGUGCUUUUUUACCUUUGCAAACUUGGUUGCGGUAUUUUUCGCACGUCCUUUUUCCACACAACUCUCGCACUCCCAAAAUAAUGUGCUUUGCGUGUGCGGGCGGGUACUGAUGUACUCCGACCGUUCCGACUUGCGGCGUUGGUUCGCCGUCCUGCUCGGUGUGGUUAUUUAACACCCUAUUUAAUCGCUCCAAAGCGAACAGGCAAUUUUUUGAUUUUCCCAGCCUCAAAAAAAUGUUUCCAAUAAAAAAGGCUGUUUGUUU
rnacentral:ncRNA from 1 species